GCCCGGAUAGCUCAGUCGGUAGAGCAGAGGAUUGAAAAUCCUCGUGUCGGUGGUUCGAUUCCGCCUCCGGGC
rnacentral:tRNA from 2 species